CACACACACACACACACACACACACACACUGACAGGACGAGCGCAGUACCCUCGCCUAUACGCCUACGGCGUGGGCGAGGGCAAUAACAAAUCAUAACGUAAUAGUUAUUAUACAGUGUGUGAAAUAAAGUAGGGUUAUUUGCAAAUAUCAAAUAAUAUAAAAAAUAGAGCGAUUCUAAUUAUUAACCACAGUUCAAAUUAAGACUCUUCUGAAGCUAUCCACACAUUCCAAGACAUUACUAUAGAUCAAAAUACAACAAAAAGCAUAAUAUAUUCUACACUGGAUGGAUAAUAUAGUUUUAGUUAGCUUAAAUAAAAGUAAACAUUAAAAGUACACAAUACUCGGAUGCAUUUUAAUAAACAGAGCUUAAUAAUGAUAUUACUUUCACACGUAACAGCAAAAACACUAUUAAGCAAGAAGAUGAGCGCCCUAUUGAUGACUCUAUCAGUUGUACUAGCAGUAUCUAUAUUGGCUGGAUCUACUAACAAUUACUACAAUGAUCCUACAAGAUUCACAGAUUGCUCUGUUACUAAGAAAUUUGCAGAACUUACUAAUGCAACAUUAACUCCAUUGAUAUUGAAACGUGGGGAAUUAAGCUACUGGCAAGGAAUACUACAAACCAGUAAAUG